GACGAACGCUGGCGGCGUGCUUAACACAUGCAAGUCGAACGGAAAGGCCCUGCUUUUGUGGGGUGCUCGAGUGGCGAACGGGUGAGUAACACGUGAGUAUCCUGCCCUUGACUUUGGGAUAACUUCAGGAAACCGGGGCUAAUACCGGAUAGGAGCUCCUGCUGCAUGGUGGGGGUUGGAAAGUUUCGGUGGUUGGGGAUGGACUCGGGGGCUAACAGCUUGUUGGUGGGGUAGUGGCUUACCAAGGCAUCGACGGAUAGCCGGCAUGAGAGGGGGGACGGGGACAUUGGGACUGAGGGACGGCGCAGUGUGGAAUGGGGGGCAACAGGGGGAAGUAUGAUCCAGUGAUGGGAAGCGUGAUGCGACAGCGCCGGGAGCGGAAUGACGGCCUUGGGGUGGGGAAGCGCUGUCGGCUGUUACCAAGCGUGAGUGACGGUAAUGGGUAAAGAAGCACCGGCUAACUACGUG
rnacentral:rRNA from 1 species